UACACUCCUGCGGGAGGCAGCAGUGGGGAAUAUUGGACAAUGGGCGCAAGCCUGAUCCAGCCAUGCCGCGUGAGUGAUGAAGGCCCUAGGGUUGUAAAGCUCUUUCACCGGUGAAGAUAAUGACGGUAACCGGAGAAGAAGCCCCGGCUAACUUCGUGCCAGCAGCCGCGGUAAUACGAAGGGGGCUAGCGUUGUUCGGAUUUACUGGGCGUAAAGCGCACGUAGGCGGACUAUUAAGUCAGGGGUGAAAUCCCGGGGCUCAACCCCGGAACUGCCUUUGAUACUGGUAGUCUUGAGUUCGAGAGAGGUGAGUGGAAUUCCGAGUGUAGAGGUGAAAUUCGUAGAUAUUCGGAGGAACACCAGUGGCGAAGGCGGCUCACUGGCUCGAUACUGACGCUGAGGUGCGAAAGCGUGGGGAGCAAACAGGAUUAGAAACCCUGGUAGUCCCAUGA
rnacentral:rRNA from 1 species